UACGGAGGGUGCGAGCGUUGUCCGGAAUCACUGGGCGUAAAGGGCGCGUAGGCGGCCUGAUAAGUAGGGGGUGAAAUCCUGCGGCUUAACCGCAGGGCUGCCUUCUAAACUGUCAGGCUCGAGCACAGUAGAGGCAGGUGGAAUUCCCGGUGUAGCGGUGGAAUGCGUAGAGAUCGGGAGGAACACCAGUAGCGAAGGCGACACUCUGGGCCGGUACUGACGCUGAGGAGCGAAAGCGUGGGGAGCAAACAGG
rnacentral:rRNA from 1 species